UACGUAGGGUGCAAGCGUUGUCCGGAAUUAUUGGGCGUAAAGGGCUCGUAGGCGGUCCAUCGCGUCGGGAGUGAAAAGCUGGGGCUUAACCCCAGUCCUGCUUCCGAUACGGGUGGACUAGAGGUAGGUAGGGGAGAUCGGAAUUCCUAGUGUAGCGGUGAAAUGCGCAGAUAUUAGGAGGAACACCGGUGGCGAAGGCGGAUCUCUGGGCCUUACCUGACGCUGAGGAGCGAAAGCAUGGGGAGCAAACAGG
rnacentral:rRNA from 1 species